CUCGUCUCCAAGUCCAUCGUUGUCUGAGUCCAACUGGGAGCUGUUGGGGAGCUGUGGGCAGUUGUCCUUGGUGUCCUGAUGUCCAUCCCCAUCGCUGCCCAGAAGAAUAGGCACCAAAUAAGGCUUGAAAGGUUUGUAAAAGCCCCAAGCUUCGUCUUCUAUCCAGAGGAUAGCUGUUCAGGAAAUCCGCCGGGGCUUUGUCUUGCUGCUUUGCCCGCACCCCGCCUCACGUUCCCACUGACUUCUGCUGCAGCGUCGUCAUCACACUGGUCCCCCACACCGUCAUUAUCAGCAUCUUCCUGCCCAGAGUUUGGUGUCAAAAGGCAGUUGUCCUAAAGGGCAGCGCCUGGUCCGGGUAGCCGUCGAUGUCUGUGUCGGGCCCACACACGUUCCCGUUCCCAGCCC